GUGCUUGCUUUGGCAGCACACAUACUAAAAUUGGAACGAUACAGAGAAGACUAGCAUGACCCUCAUGCAUGAAUGAUACACAAAUCCAUGAAGUGUUUCAUAUUUUU